UGAUCUUGUCCCAUUUGUUCAUCAAAAAUAUGCGAUCGAGCGGAGAAAAUAAGAAUGGAAAGGGAAUCCCCGCAAAUUGACUGGCAUUUCUUUUAAAGAGCCGAUCUUGUUCUUGCGGCCGGUCAAUUCUUUUUCUGGAUCAACGAGCGCGCGAAGCUCUCGUUGGCCGGUCAGUCAACCGUGGUCAAUGGAAGCGUUGACGAGCUGCUGACGAGUCGGUGGCGUCACCGCUGGGCACUAGUGUGAAUGGAACCAUUUGGAUUGUGGGCUGUGAGUGCGCUGCUCCCGCGCGAGAGCUCUUUGGCGGUGCUUUGGCUUGCUUUGACUGAUCGAGCGCAUUGACUGGCUAACGAACCCAGCGCGGUGCCACCGUAAGCAUGAAUCAUUAUCGCCGCGCUGCCGAGAGAGAGAGAGAGAGAGAGAGAGAGAAAGAAAGAAUCAAAACAGAGCUCUCUUUAAGUUGCUAGAUAGAACUCACCUGGGAAGGAAGAGCUCGGAAACUUCUACACAUGUUGUCAGUCCGUGAUCCUGCCAGAAGAAACAAGAAAAAAAAAAAAGAUGUUAUAUCCUAUUAGCUCGCUCUCGAGGAUGGAACAAUAUACUCACCGGCUUAACAGUGCUCGACGAAAUCAUUGCCGAAGAAAAAAGGAUGGCGCACUCCUGUUUUUUGCAGUGGUUGUGUUGCUUGUUCUCUCGCUCGCUCUCGUUCUAGACCCGUCCGUGACCGAAUCCGGGGCCAGCUUUUUUAAGAAAAGCAAGCCAGCUGCAUGAAGAGGCAUGGUACGUCGGGAGCAAUAGAAAGGAAAAAAAAAAAAACGGGGAAAAAAGAGUGUACCUAUUAGCGGUACAAUCCGUCGGUUGGAUUCCCCAUCUUUGCAGAGAUUCGAAGCAGCCGAAGUCGAACGUUUGUGCUGCUGGCUUUUCUAUUUUAUUACUUUCUUGCGGCCAAGGCUGUUCCAUCAUCAUGCCCCGCUUUUGAGAGGAUUUCGGAAUCCUUCGCGCUGAUCAACGUUUACUUGUCAAUGGCCUCUCCAAAAGAAGUUGAGAAUCAAAUCGCAAACAAAAGCUUUCUUUCCUCUCCCCUUUUUCUUUUUGUUGGUACCUCGAGCGAAAGCUGUUGCAAGCACCUUCACCUCGUUUCCUUGAAGCUGCUUCCUCCUGCAAGUGGCCUUAUUGUGCUGUAAUCGGAGAACCAAGUGAGUCUUCCUUAAAGUAGUGAUGCAGCUUCGUCUGUUUUUGUCAAUUUCCCUGUUGGAGUCGUAAAGGCUGGAUGGCGCUGCACAAAACGUGGUCGCUCGAUAUCAAGAUAUCUCGAUAAUCAAAGAAACUUCUUUUACCAGAAUUUGAGACUCUGAAGCUCCCUCCAAGCAUCCAUCUCCAUGACCGUGACCAGUGGAUGCAUCGUCGAUUUGACGACUUUUAGAACGCUUGAAAAGCUGGGAAGGAAAAAGUGUUAAGGAAGUAUUAUUCUUGAAACGUAAUGUCACCGUCCGGCGUUCUCCAAAAGCUGCUGAGAGCCCAUCGUCUAGGCAACGUCGUUGUCUUGUUGCGUUCUAAAAGUCUGGACAUAUAAAGUUAAGUGUUGAAA
rnacentral:lncRNA from 1 species